UUUGCAAUGUAUAUUACAUGCUUGGCACUCAGUAGUGUCUGUUUCUUUAAGACCCUCCAUUUUCUUGAAGCCUAGAGGCGGGUCUUCUCUGUUCUCUCUAGGGCUUGCUGGGACAUAUCCUGUUCAGUCCAGCUCUGGGUACUAUAGUGACCAGAUCCACAGGACAUCUUAAAGCUAUUACAGAUUGCAAACCUGACGAACACCAAAGCCUGUGAGUAAAGGGGUUUUGCUAGUUCAGCUUGUGUAGAGGGAUGUUAGACAUUGCAGAUAGAUAAUGUGUGUUUCAGUGUAGUAAGCAAGCACAUGUUAGUUAGGCCCUAUCUUUUGUAUUAGCUAUGUAUAAUGUAUGUUGCUUGAAUUAGCCAUGCUUAUAUUUCUCUUUUUAUGUUUGUUUCACAGUUUUACCUCACAUAUCAUCCCAUAUCAUAUCAUAUGAACAUUAUUGUACACAUUCCUGUUCAUUAUAUCUCAGUAAAGAUUGCAUCAGUUCAGCAAACCAGCGCAUCUUUCAUUGGGAUUGGGUUUAUACUUGAUGUUAAGCUGUGUACCUGAAGCAACACGCAGCCGAGACAUUACAGUAAAAAGGCUUUAAAACGUUGUCAGAAGCAGUUAAACAGCUUUAAAUCGUCCUCCGCAGUAAAAGGACUAAUAACUCCUUUCAGCCACGUGGAGUGAAACGAAAGUGAAACUAAUUUCUCUCACUCACUACAACACUGAUACUGCCUGUGUCCAGUCAUCAUCAUUAUCCACGCUGCCAGCUAAAUCAAGAUGCAGAACACAGGGAACAACACUCUGACAGUUAACCCUCAAUGCUCCUAUAAGGAAGAUGACACACACAGCUUGCCAAGAAUCAAGUCUAGAUACACAACACUGUCCAGAGCAUCCAGUCAAACAAAUCUGACUUCAGCUAGCGCCGAUUCAGCAAGAUCUAAGCGUACUAGUUCUAGACGUUCAGGCAUCACCAGUCUGUCAUCGGCUAGCGACAAAGCGACUAGGGCAAGAGCAAAAGCAGAGGCAGCUUGCGCCAUGGCUUCUUAUGCGGAGCAGGAAGCUGAAUUGAUGAGAGAGCAAGCAAAAAGUGAAUCUGAAGCACUUAAAAAGAAAGCAGAAGUGGAAGCAUCUUUACACUUACUCAAACAGCAGAAAAACGCGGCAGCAGCCUUAGCCGAGGCAGAAGUUUUCACAAGGGCUGCUGAAGCUCAGUUCGAUGGCAUAGAAAACCAGACGUCAUCCCACAGCGCAAUCCAACGCACCCGUGAGUACGUACAGUCACAAGCAACCAUGUACACCGACCAGCAGUCCAAUGACGCACCUAGGCUUUCAUUGACUCCACCAGCAAUAAGCAACUUUGAUACUACGCAACAUUGCAAGACUAAAUCAGAAUCUCAGUGUGGGAAGUCAAGUGGUCGCAUGCUUAGAGACCAAUCUGCCAACCCUCCAAGAGUGCAAACGGAUGCUCGCGUACUCCCUCCUCAAGCAAAUACAAGUCUGGAUUAUAGCAGAAAGACUUACAACAGACGAGAACAACCACCUAAACAAAGUAGAUUCAGACAAGCGCCUCAUCAGCCUUACCAGCCGCAACCAUACCCUGAGUUUACACGCGAGAAGCAUUCGCCAGACGCAACAAGUGCUAUAGAAGUGGCAAAAUUCCUGAUGCACCGUGAGAUAGUGGGCGCUGGUCUCAUGAAAUUCGAUGACCGUCCAGAAAACUACUGGGCCUGGAAAUCAUCUUUCCUGAGCGGUACCCAAAACUUAAACCUGACAGAGAAAGAAAAGCUUGACCAGCUUGUCAGAUGGCUAGGUCCAGAGUCCACUGAGCAAGCCCAAAGGAUCAGAUCAGUACAUGUUCAUGACGCAGCAGCAGGACUUGCAAUGGUGUGGCGGAGACUAGAACAAUGCUAUGGAUCACCUGAAGUGAUCGAGGAUGCUCUUCUGAAAAGGAUAGAAAACUAUCCAAGAAUAACAAAUAAGGAUUACCAAAAGCUGAGAGGUUUGGGAGACCUACUCUUAGAAAUAGAAGCCGCUAAGUCUAGUGGAUAUCUGCCAGGUCUCUCAUAUCUGGAUACAGCACGUGGAGUUGAGCCCAUAAUCGAGAAACUUCCUUACAACUUGCAAGAAAGGUGGGUAGCUCAAGCUUCAAGAUACAAGAAAGAUCAUCAUGUUGCAUUUCCACCAUUCGCCUUCUUCGCUGAAUUCAUAGAAGACCAAGCUGAAAUACGCAAUGACCCAAGCUUUGCUUUCCUGAACAAGAGAACGGCAAGCUUCCCAAAGGUAGAGCAGAAACCUCCAGGGCUUUACAAAGAACGCAGAGCAACAGUUUCUGUAAGGAAGACAGAAGUCCCGCCUGAAUCUGCAGCUAAUCAGGAAGACAACACAAGGAAGAAAGUUGAGGAGUCAGACAAAAUAUGUCCUAUCCACAUUAAGCCUCAUCCACUAAGAAAAUGUCGCAGUUUCAGAAGUAAGACGUUAGAAGAGCGCAAAGCUUAUCUUAAAGACAAUCGCAUUUGUUUCAGAUGCUGCGCUUCAAUUCAGCAUCUUGCAAAAGACUGUACAAAAACAAUACAAUGCGCAGAGUGUAACAGUGACAAACACUUGUCAGCACUGCACCCGGGACCACCACCAUGGAAACAAGAAGUUCAAGCAACUCAAGAAGAUCAUGGUGGGGAGCAAGGAGAGAGUAUAACGCCAGCAGUAACCUCAAAGUGCACUGAGAUCUGUACAGAGCAGGGCCGCUCAAGAUCGUGCUCCAAGAUAUGCUUAGUCAAGGUGUAUCCAGCAGGUUUUAGAGAAAAAGCAAUCAAGAUGUACACAGUCAUGGAUGAACAGAGUAACAGAUCUCUGGCAAAAACAGAAUUCUUUGACCUCUUCGGUGACAAAGGAAGUCCAACUCCAUACACCUUGAAGACUUGUUCUGGAGUUGUAGAGACAAUAGGGAGAAGAGCUAAUAACUACAUCAUCGAGUCAUUAGAUGGAAAGACAAAGGUGACUCUACCUACCCUCAUAGAAUGCGAUGAGAUACCAGACGACAGGUCAGAGAUACCCACACCUGAAGUUGCUCGUCAUCAACCUCAUUUGGUGCGAAUAGCAGACCAAAUACCAGCACUAGAUCCAGAUGCUGCAAUCACCCUUCUACUUGGGAGAGAUAUUCUCAGAUUGCACAAAGUCAGAGAACAGUACAAUGGGCCACACAAUGCACCAUUUGCACAACGCCUUGAUCUUGGAUGGGUCAUCGUUGGAGAAGUAUGUCUAGACGGACUGCACAAACCAUCAAAGGUAAAUGUCUACAGAACACAUCUGUUGCAGAAUGGUCGUACAUCUUGUCUUUGCCCAUGUACCAACAGUCUACACAUUAAAGAGAGAUUAGAUAACCCAACACAUCAUCGGAGUAUCCAGAGGUGCAUGGAAGACUUAGCCUCAACUGGAAAUACAGAUGAACUGGGUUGUAAGGUGUUUGAAAGAACACGAGACGACGACAAGCCAUCACCCUCGGUAGAAGAUACCCUCUUCCUCGAGAUCAUGGACAGAGAAGUCUACAGAGACAAGUCAGGCAGCUGGGUAGCCCCUCUACCCUUCCGGUCACCACGCCAUCGCCUUCCUGUCAACAAGGUACAAGCAGAGAAACGCUUCAGUUUGUUGCAGCGCACUCUACAAAGAAAGCCAGAUAUGAAGAAACACUUCCAAGCCUUCAUGCAAAAGAUUUUUGACAACGAGCAUGCAGAAAGGGCACCACCACUACAAGAAAACCAAGAACACUGGUACUUACCAAUAUUUGGAGUGUAUCAUCCUCAAAAACCAGGUCAGAUACGUGUAGUAUUUGACUCUAGUGCGAAGCACGAAGGCAUCUCACUAAAUGACGUCCUUCUCAGCGGACCUGACCUGAACUACACACUCCUUGGAGUACUCAUCAGGUUCAGGAAAGAACUUGUAGCAGUAACAGCAGAUGUACAACAGAUGUUCUACUGUUUCUUCGUUCGAGAAGAUCACCGAGACUACUUAAGGUUCCUGUGGUAUGCAGACAAUGACUUUAACAAAGACAUCAUAGAGUACAGGAUGAAGGUACAUGUGUUCGGAAACAGCCCUUCCCCAGCUGUAGCUAUCUACAACCUGAAACGAGCAGCACAGCAAGGUGAAAGACAUGGUCAAGAAGCCAAACAGUUCGUCAUGAAGAACUUCUACGUGGACGAUGGACUUGCUUCUUUCUCCAGCAACAAAGAAGCUAUUAACGUCCUAAAAAGUACAAAAGAAAUGUUGGCAGAAUCCAACAUAAGAUUGAACAAGGUAGCUUCCAACAGCUACAGAGUCAUGGAAGCAUUUCCAUUGGAAGACCGUGCUAAAGACCUCAAAGACUUAGAUCUAGGAACAGAAUCACCACCCUUGCAAAGAAGUCUUGGGCUUAGUUGGGACUUAAAGACUGACAGUUUCACCUUCAGGGUCUCCAGAGAAGAGAAACCAUUCACAAAAAGAGGUGUCCUAUCUACAGUCAACAGUCUUUAUGACCCCCUGGGAUUCGUAGCACCCAUCAUCAUGCAAGGCAAAGCUUUUUUGAGACAGAUCACUACUGAGCAGGAACAAAUUGACUGGGACGUACUUCUUCCUGACGAGAAGCGAAUGCAGUGGAAGGUGUGGAAAGACUCAUUGUUAGAGCUUGAACAACUCUACAUUUCAAGACCGUACGUAUUUGUUUCCUUGUCUGCUACAAAGAGGAGAGAAUUAUGCGUAUUCUCUGACGCUUCCACUAUGGCUAUUGCAGCUGUAACUUACCUCAGGGUAAUAGACACUGAGGGACAAAGCCAUGUUGGGUUCAUCAUGGGAAAAUCUAAACUAGCUCCCAGACCUGCUUACACUGUCCCAUGUCUAGAACUUUGUGCUGCUGUCUUAGCGGUAGAGAUGGCAGACAUGAUUACGACUGAACUGGACAUUGAGGUCCAUGCAGUGAACUUUUAUACGGACAGCAAGAUUGUGUUAGGAUAUAUUCACAACACUUCAAAAAGAUUUUACACAUACGUGACCAACAGAGUGACACGUAUCAGAAAGUCUACAAGUCCAGAUCAGUGGCAUUACAUCAGCACAGACAAGAACCCAGCGGAUCAUGGGACAAGAUUGGUGUCAGCCGCUGUACUCAAGCAAACUAACUGGUUCGUAGGUCCAUCGUUUCUUGGUAAGCCAGAAAUCAAAGAGACUACUCAGGUAGAGACCUUUCAGCUCAUAGAACCAGAUCAAGACAAAGAGGUAAGACCUCAAGUUGCAGUUUGCAAGACUUUAGUUACCAGAGACAGUCUGGGCGCCCAUAGAUUUGAAAGGUUUUCCAGAUGGAAGUCGCUGACUCGUGCAAUCGGAAAACUUAUCUGUCUAGCCAGAUACUCCUCCAGAGCUACUAAUACUGAUCAACGUAGCAACGACCAUCUUGAACAAGCCAAGGUCGCGAUCAUCAAAUGCGUCCAGCAGGAAGUCUUUAAAGAAGAAAUUCAAAGCCUUCUGAAAAAGAAAGAGAUUUCUCGACACAGUUCGCUCAAGAAGUUGAACCCUAUCCUCGACGAAGACGGAGUACUAAGAAUUGGAGGUCGUUUGUCGGCAGCGGAUAUGACUAUCCAAGAGAGACAUCCCUUCAUCAUACCUAAGAAUCAUCACAUCGCUCUUCUUCUGGUAAGACACUAUCACGAGCAAGUUGCACAUCAAGGACGACACUUCACUGAAGGAGCAGUACGGUCAGCAGGAUUGUGGAUCAUAGGAGGUAAGAGACUAGUCUCCAGCGUGAUCAGCCAAUGCGUUACCUGUAAGAAGAUUAGAGGGAAACUUGAGGUUCAGAAGAUGUCAAACUUACCUGCAGACAGACUUGCUUCAGAUCCUCCGUUCACUCACGUAGGUCUAGACGUUUUUGGACCAUGGAACAUCUCUUCUCGCAAGACUAGAGGAGGCAGUGCCGAAAGUAAACGUUGGGCUGUUCUGUUCUCUUGCCUGAGUACUAGAGCAGUUCAUAUUGAAGUAAUUGAAUCUUUAUCCACUUCAAGUUUCAUCAAUGCCUUGAGAAGAUUCUUCUCUAUCAGAGGACCAGCGAAAUUGAUUCGUUCAGACCGCGGCACAAACUUUAUUGGGGCCUGCAAGGAGUUGAAAAUCAUCUCUACAGACUCUGAAACAGGUUCCUAUCUUCAAGAUCAAGGAUGCACUUGGACUUUUAAUCCUCCACACGCAUCGCAUAUGGGAGGAGCAUGGGAGAGGAUGAUUGGAGUAGCUCGUCGUAUUCUGGAUGCCAUGCUCCUGAAGGUUGGGUCUGCUCGCCUCACUCAUGAAGCUUUAACUACACUAAUGGCUGAAGUCGUGGCCAUUAUGAACGCCAGACCUUUGGUUCCAGUGUCUACAGAUCCAGAGAUGCCAUCAGUCUUGACACCCGCAAUGCUGCUGACCCAGAAGAUGGAACCAGUGACAGCUCCCACUGGAGACUUUGACCUCAAGGACUUGUAUACUAAGCAAUGGAGACAAGUUCAAAGCCUUGCAGACAUUUUCUGGAAGAGGUGGAGACAGGAAUACCUGGUGACACUCCAGCCACGCAAGAAAUGGCAGGAUGACAAACCCAACUUACAAGUUGGAGACAUUGUCUUAUUAAAAGACACUCAGGCCCACAGGAAUGAAUGGCCUAUUGGACUCAUUGUGGCGACUGAUCCUAGUGGUGAUGCUAGAGUUAGAAAAGUUGAAGUUAGAGUUGUUAGACAGGGCAUUCCCAAGGUGUAUGCUAGGCCAAUUUCUGAAGUAGUUUUACUUCUGUCCAAAGGUUAGUGGCAUAACCAAUGGUACGCCAGGUGGGGAGUGUGCUGCCUUUGCAAUGUAUAUUACAUGCUUGGCACUCAGUAGUGUCUGUUUCUUUAAGACCCUCCAUUUUCUUGAAGCCUAGAGGCGGGUCUUCUCUGUUCUCUCUAGGGCUUGCUGGGACAUAUCCUGUUCAGUCCAGCUCUGGGUACUAUAGUGACCAGAUCCACAGGACAUCUUAAAGCUAUUACAGAUUGCAAACCUGACGAACACCAAAGCCUUUUUACCUCACAUAUCAUCCCAUAUCAUAUCAUAUGAACAUUAUUGUACACAUUCCUGUUCAUUAUAUCUCAGUAAAGAUUGCAUCAGUUCAGCAAACCAGCGCAUCUUUCAUUGGGAUUGGGUUUAUACUUGAUGUUAAGCUGUGUACCUGAAGCAACACGCAGCCGAGACAUUACAG